UGCCGGGUUUUGGGGGGUUUCCUGGGGAGGUCUCCGGCAUUUCGGGGACCCCCUCCCCAACCCCGGGGGUCUCCGGGGGUCUCAGGAGUGGCCCUGGGGCUCCAGCGAGCGCCUCCCGCUGCCCGUGCACACCUGCGCGGGGCUGGCGCUGCCGCCGCUCGGCUGGGACGGCUGGAGGGGACAGCUCUGGUUCGCUGCCCGGCUCCUCUCGGGGGUUCUGGACUAUCGGGAGCAGCUCCAGAGACGGGACCCCCCCGAGCCCUGGGUCCAGGCCGCAUUCGGGGGGUGCCGCGUCCCGGGGCCCCGGCGGGACGAGGUGCUCCGGCUGCCCCCGGGGGCCCCCCCCCCCCCCGCACGUGACCGUCAGCAGCAACGGCCAGGUGGGGGAGGGGCGGGGCCGGGGGCGGGGCUGGGGGCGGGGCUGGGGGCGGGGCUGGGGGAUGGGCGGGGAUUGGGGGGCAUUUUGGGGGGA
rnacentral:lncRNA from 1 species